rnacentral:lncRNA from 1 species
GGGGCUCAGGGGCUGGGGGGCCCAACCCAGGGAAAUGCACGCUCGCCUGACCACAAUCUUCCCCUCGAGCUGGGCCCCGCGCGGGACCUGUCGUUGCACCGUCUGGAACCGCCGCCAGGGGGUGCGGGAGCCCAGCCCCCACGUGCGCGGGGCUCGGAGCCGAGCCGGCACCUGCGGGGGGUCACCUGGCGGUCAGGCCCGGGCGGGGGCUCCGAGCCCAGCUUCGGAGAGAAAUCUCUCAUCCUCACUGCCCACUCCUCUCCUCGACUUCGAAACGUGCUUCCUCCUCGAGCAAAUUGACUUUCAUUAGAGGCCUGCCGACCGCUGAUAACGCACCAGCCUGCGCGCAUCUCCAAAACCUCGCGCCGGGUGGAAGACGCCAGACACGAAAGAACACAGCUGCGCGGUUCCGUGUAUACGAGGCCGCAGCAUAAGCCAAUCGAUCUCCGAUGGGAAAUAUCAGGACGGCGGUGGACGCAAGCUGGGGUGGGAGGACCGACCGGGCAGGCGCACGAGGGUGCUCUUGGGCUCUGGAGGCCAGGAGUCUGAAGUCAGGCCGUGCCCCGCUCUGCAGGCUCCCGCGAAGAAGCCUUCCUCACCUCUCCAGCCCUGGGGGGGCCGGCCACCCUUGGCCUGGGGCUGCUCCACUCCAGGCUCUGCCUCUGUCUUCGGUGGCCUUCUUCCCCCAUGUGUGUCCGCGUCCGGAUCGCCUUCUCUUUUCCCUUAUAAAACACCUGUCGUUGGAUGUAGGGCCCACCCUAAUCCUGCCUGACCUCAUCUUAACUGGGUACAUCUGCAAGGCUCUAUUUCCACAUGAGGUCGCAGUCACAGGUGCCGAGAGUCAGGACUUGACUAUAUCUUUUUGAGGGAAACAAUUCAACCCACUUUGUGUUCCAUAUCUUGGAAAGAGUGUUUGAAUAACCCAGGGAGAUGCAUUUGCCAAAAAUAAUCUAAAGUACACCUAAGAUUUGUGCAUUUCACUGAAUGUAAGUUGUACAGACAGAGAAACAAAUGUUGAACCCUGUCCCUUUGGUCUCUUUUUUUUUUCAAGAUUGGCACCUCAGCUAACAUCUAUUGCCAAUCUCCUUUUUUUUUCCUUCUUCUCCCCAAAGCCCCCCACUGCAUAGUUGUCUAUUCUAGUUGCAGGUCCUUCUAGUCCUACUAUGUGGGACACCGCCUCAGCAUGGCCUGACGAGUGGUGCCAUGUCCACGCCCAGGAUCUGAACCGGCAAAACCCCAAGCCCCCGAAGCGGAGAGGACGAACCCAACCACCCGGCACGGGCCAGCCCCUUGGUCUCCUUUAACUGGGAACACUUGCUCAGUCUCUCCUCUUUAAUGACCUUGACACUUCUGAAGAGGACAGGCCAGUUAUUUUGUAGAACGCCCCUCCUGUGAGUCUGUCUGAAGUCUCCUCGUGGUUGGACACAGACCAUGCAUCUUUGUCAGGAACCACCCGAGCGGUGGUCUGUCGCCAUCAGGAGACACCCGAGAGCUGUUUGUCCUGUUACUGGUGACGCUAAUAGUGAUCUUGGUCAAGGUGACGUCCGCCAGGUUUCACCACUGUCACGUUACUGUUCUUCUCUUUGUGUGAAUGAGUAUCUUACGGGGAGAUGUACUGUCUAAAUAUCCUGGUACUCCUCAGCCUUCACCCACUGAUUUUAACAUCCAUUCCUAUGCUUGCUUCAGUCUAUCUACUGCUGUGUAAUAAAUGACCCCGAAACUUAGCAGCUUAAAAUAAUAAUCGUUCAUUUUCUCACUGUUUUGUGGGUCAGGAGUGGUUUGGCUGGAAGGUUCUUGCUUCCGAGGUGAGUCUCUCAGAAGUUGCCAACUGGGGCGUCAAGGUGUCAACUGGGGUGACAGUUAUCUGAAAGCUCAGCUGGGGUCGGGGCUUCACUUCCCAGGAGAAAUAUACUGUGAGCCAUCAAUGGGAACCACAUGUUUAAUUUUAAAUCUUCUAAUAGCUACAGUUUAAAACGUAGAAAAGUAUACAGGUGAAAUCUAUUUUAGUAAUAUAUUUUAUGUAACCCAGUAGGUCUAAACUCGUCUCAUUUCAACAUAGAAGAGGAGAGUGUUGAAGGAUUUGUGGACACCAUGCCCCCAUUUAUUUAUUCAUUUAUAUCUGUAGGGACUUUAUUUUAUCCAUGGGUUGUAACUCCAUCCAUACCAUUAUUUAUUUUGGUGCUCAAAUUGACCCAGAUUUGGCCAGCGUAAGCUCCUUUCAGUGGCUUCUGUGUUCUUUCAUCGUUUCCAUAUUUUCUGGCACAAUAAGAUGUUCCAGGCUCCAUUUCAGCUUCUCGGACCCCAGCCUGGUUCCUUUCCGUGCAGAAUGCCAUUCUGAAACCAUAAUCUGCGUGCUACCCAACUUUUUGAUUGUUACCACUCUGCUAGGUGUGGAGUGACGUCUCCUGGCUGUUUUCAUUUGCAUUUCCUCUGACGGGUGAGUUUGAGCCUUCUUCACGGCUUGUGGUUUUCCUCUUCUGUAAAUUGCUCUUCUCAUCCUUUGUCCUUUUUCCACUGGGCUGCUGGCCCUCUCUGGUGUUUAUUUGCAAGUUUCCUGCAUAUUCUAAGCUUUGCAAUCUUAGGCAAUGAAUAUCUUCACACUCUGACAUCUGUUUGCUUCGUCCAUGGCAUCCUUUGGCUAGAAUUCCUUAAUUUGGAUGUAAUCAAAAUAACUGUUGUAAUGGUUUUUUGCCUUUUAACUUUUGUGCUUUUUUGAUUGUGGUAAAAUAUAGAUAACAAAAUUUACCAUUUUUGUUAUUUUUAAGGGUACGAUUCAGUGGCAUUAAAUACAUUCACGAUGUGCAACCAGCACGACCGUCCAUGUCCAGAACUUUUCCAUCAUCCCAAAGAGAGACUCUGUGCCCAUUAAACAGAGCCCCCCCCCCACCCCCUGGAAACCUGUGACCUACUUUCUGUCUCUGUGACUUUCACUCUUCUAAGUGCCUCAUAGAAGUGGAAUCAUACAGUAUUGGUCCUUUUGUGUCUGGUUUAUUUCUCUUAGCAUAAUGUUUUCAAGAUUCAUCCAUUUUGUAGGAUGUGUCAGAAUUUCAUUCCUUUUUAAGGCUAACUAAUGUUCCACUGUAUGCAUGUAACGAAUUUUGUAUGUCCACUCGUCUGUCAAUGGAUAUUUGGGGUGCUUCUGCCUUUUAGCUAUUACGAACAAUGCUGCUAUGAACACGAGUGUACAAGUAGCUGUUUGAGUCCAUUUUCAACUCGCUUAGGUAUAUACCGAGAGGUGGAAUUGGGGAUCAGAUGGUAAUUCUCUGUUUAACUUUUUGAGGAGCUGCCAUGCUCUUUUCCGCACCAGCCGCAGCAUUUUACAUGCCCACCACAGUGCACAAGCCUUCCAAUUUCUCCACAUCCUCACCAAUACUUAUUUCCUGUUUUGUUUUUAUAUAUAUAUAUGAUAGCCAUCCUAGUGGGUAUGAAGUGGUAUCUCACUGUGGUAUUGAUUUGCAUGUCCCUGAUGACUAAAGAUGCUGAGCGUCUUUUCGUGUGCCUUUUGGCCAUUUGUAUAUCUUCUUUGGAGAGAUGCCCGUUCAAAUUCCCUGACCGUUUUUGAAUGGCAUGCUUUACAGUCGUGCUUUUGAAAUUUGAUUUAAGUUCUUUCUCACCUCUAGGCAGAAAGAUACUUUCUGACUUUUCUUCUACUAAUUUUGGGGUGGGGGUAAACCUUUUGUGGGUGUGGUAAAAUGUAUAUAAUAUUUUCUUUAGCCAUUUGUAGGUGUCCAAUUCAGCGGCAUUAAUUACGUCCACAGUGCUGUGUAGCCAUCACCACUGUCUGUACCCAAAACUUUUUCAGCAUUCCCAAUAGGAACUCGGUUCCCAUUAAACCAUGACUCCUCAUUCGCUCUCCCUCUGGCUUCUGGCAACCACCAUUCUACUUUCCACCUCUGUGAAUUUGCCUAUCCUAGGUACCUCGUAUGAAUGGCAUCAUACAAUAUUUGUCCUUUUGUGUCUGGCUUAUUGGACUCCGCAUAAUGUUUUCAAGGUCCGUCUAUGUCGUAGCAUGUGUCACAAUUUCAUUCCUUUUUAUGGCUGAAGAGUAUUCCAUUAUGUGGCUAUAACAUCUGCGAAUUUCAUAAUUUUGCGCUCCACUUCCAGUCUUCGCUCCAUCUAGAGUCCGCCUUUGUUUGCAGUGUGGGGUAAAGGUCUAGUUUUAUGGGGACAGGUUCCCCAACACCAUCUCCCAAACGGCUGUCCUUUCCGAGGUGGGCUGUGGGGCUGCCUGACUGGUUUAGUUCUCACAUGUCCGGGGCCUGCUUCGGGCCACUGCUCUGCUCCUGACCUGUUUCUGCCUGUGCCAGCGCCCCGCUGACUUUAUUAUGAUGGGGCAUGCCUUUCGACCGCUGUAGGGCAAGUCUCCUCUUUCCUAUUCUUUUUUAAGGCUGUGGCUAAGUUCUUUCCAUGCCACAUCUCAUCAAAUCCUCAGAGCAACCCUGAGUCGAAGGCACGAUCCUUAUCCCCACAAGACAGGUGAGAGAAUUGAGGCCUCUGGGAGGGGAAGCGACUUGCUGAAGUUUACAGAGCUGACAAGUGGCAGAGCUAGGACAAAAGGAGACCUGCCUGACUCGAGGGCCAGCCUUUGAUCCCUAACACCCAGCUGCCUCUGCCAUCUGCAGGCUGCCCGGCUUUUAUCUGUAAGAAGGACAAAGGGGCAAGAGAGGCCUUCUGGGCUGGCCGCUUGCCAGUUAGCUCUCAGGUCCUUUCCUCAUAUCGGGAAAGGAAACCACUGAGCGUUUACACAGACAGACUUUCCAGCAGAGAACGCGGUACCGAGAUGACGGAGGGGCCCAGAAGCCAAACAAGAGACGGUGAAGCAGCUCAGAGAUUUCAGCAGAAAGCCAUUGCCACCUUGAAGCUGGAGGGAUGGCAGGAGGAGGUAACAUUACAGUAGCCCUGUGGUCACUCUGCGAAGCUGGAAGCACUGUGGACUGUCCUGCGAGGGCUGGAGCCCUGGGGGAGACACCACGGUUGAUGGAGAUGCAGCCCAAGAUGUCAGAAGAGAGGGAGAAAUAUUCUGCUUCUCCCUUCCUCCAGCCUCCUGUCUCCCAUCAUGACCACCUAUUGGCCAAUGGGAAGUCAGCCCACCCGGAGUCUGGGCAAUGCAGCCGGCAGAGGUCAGCCACUCUGUAAUUCAGUGAAGAAUGGAGGAAGGGCGGGCAAUGGCUCUGAGGACAGAGGAACAGCCCCUACCCAAGAGGCCCUCCCUUCCUGGUCCCAGUUCCCACCAGGCAGCCCCCAUGUGGUUCUAGCCCUGGCUUUUUGUAUCCAGUGACACCACAGCCUCCUUCUGUGCCUCUGGCCUCCGGCUGUGGCCCAUUCCAGGGUGCCUAAUCCUGCCCUUUUGGCGUCUCAGCUCUCCCAUCGUCUGUAUAAGCACUUCCCUGUACGCCAUUCCUUCUGUUUGAAAUGCCCAGAGUGAUCUCCGCUUUCCAGACUGGACCCCAGCUGAUGCACCCGCCACGCCAUAAUUUACAGAAUGGCCGCAGGGGCACCACGUGAAGUUUGUGGAUUGAUGGAGUAAUGAACCAGAGGGCAGGGCAGAAACUAAGUGAGCUGGGUCCCCAAGGCUAGGCAAUCCAGAGGCACACUGGGCCCAGCUUCAGAGCAACCGCGGCAAUCUUGAGACUGGCCUGGAGUCUGCAGAGAUGCUGAGGGUUCACGAGUCGGGCUCCGGGGCAGCCUCUCUCGAGGGCCCUGUGUGCCUGUGUCCUACGUCACCCGUACUCCCCUGCACAGCUGCCAUAAGAAAGGACCGCAGACCGGGCAGCUUAAACCAUGGAAGUUUAUCGUCUUGUGGUUCUGGAGGCUGGAAGUCUAAGAUCAAAGUGUCAGCAGCAUUGGUUCCCUCUGAGGCCUCUCUCCUUGGCUUGUGGAUGGUUGUCCUCUCCCUGUGUCUUCACAAGGUCAUCCCUCUGUGUGUGCCCGUGACCUCAUCUCCUCUUCUCACAGGGACACCGGUCCUAGUGGAUUCGGGCCCACCCUCAUGACCUCAUUUUACCUUAACCACCUCUUCAAAAACCGCUCUCCAAACACAGUCCCAUUGGAGGUCCUGGGGGCUAGGACUUCAAUACAUGGAUUUGGGGGGACACAGUUCAGCCCGUAACAACCCCCAAUAUCACAGGGUGGGCAUUAUUGGCCUUGUUUUCCGAAGGACGAAAUGGAGGCUUAGACACUUGUUUGCGCAAGGCCUCCAGAGCUGGGGCCGCUCGGUCCAGGGGCUGCUUCUCCCCCUCCAGGCCCCGGGAAUCUUCUCACUCUCGUGCCUGCCUCAGACCCCAGGAGACGGAUUCCAGUCUCCCUUUAAUUCCUUUCCCGCGUGAUGAGACAAUGACCCAGCGUUUAUUGAGAUUUGCUAUGUGCCAGGUUCGUCCACUGGCGUCUUAUAUGUUGUGCUCCAAGAUGUGGCUCCUUCAGGCCUCUGCUCACACCCUCUCCGAGACGCCCUCCCCGAGCCCGUGUCUGUAAUGUGCCUCCACCCCCAGACCCAUCCCCUGCUUUAUUUUCCUUUACGGUGUCAUCAGUACCUGAAAUUACCUUGUCUGCCUGUUUACUUGUUGAUUGUCUCCCCCACUAGACUGAGAGCCCCAUGAGGGCAGGACCAGGUCCUGGUGCACCCUCAGUGCCUGGAGACUCUCAUCAACCACUGACAUCAGAGGGGCUCAGUGUUGGUUCAAUAGAUGAUGAAUGAAUGAAUUCUCUCUUUGAAUCCUCAUCAGACAUCUCAUUCUCUAGAAGAAGAGACUGAGGGUCAGAGAAAGUCCCUAAUCUGCCCAAGCUCCGCCAGCUAGGAAGUGGUGAAGCUGGAGUUCACACCCGGGUCUCUGCUCUCGACUUCACACCCUGGCCAGUCACCUUGCCUCAGCCGUCCUCCCAAACCUCCCCCUGGUCUAUGGCUUCCCAGACCAUCCUCACAGCUACCCUGAGCCUCUCUGGUUCUGGAAAUUCCCAGUGCCUUGCUGAGCUGGGCUGCAGUGUCAUUCUGUGCCAGCAAGUGUCACCAGAGAAUUCCUCGCGGCCACAGUCAGCUCUCUAGCACUCUAGAACAUGAAUGUGCCGCAGUUUAAUUAAUCACCUUUGAGGAUAUUUCCAGGGUUUUACUCCACAAACCAAGCUACAUCCUUGUACCUGUGUUCAUGGGGUGUGAGGUGAGAAUUUCUCUGGGAAUGGAUUUCUAGAAAUAGAAUUGCAAAGAGCAAUGAAAAUCUUUAAAUUGCACAGAGUCCAUGAAUUUGCUAAGCCUGGUUUGCAACCAAGGAGUGUCAGGCCCAGAGAGGGCACGUGGGUUAUCCAGGGGCACACAGCAAGCGAGGAGAAGGGCCAGGUUUGGAACUAGUUCCUCUGGCCAUAAAUUUUUCCACUGCAUUUGGACGAUGCUUCCACCCAGGCUUGAGUGUGGUCUUUGUGCCUUUUUCCAGGUGCAGGGCUGGAUCUCACGGCUCCCCGUCAUGCACUCAUCCAUACGUUCUUUUAAGAGAUGCACUGGCGAGAUGCAGGCUCCAUGCUGUAAGAAAGGCUCAAAUAACAAGUGUCUCCUAGACACGAAAACAGUUAGUUUUCCCCUCUCACAUCAAUCUGAAUGACAGCAGUGCAGGUCUGGAUGGCGGCUUUGAUGUGGAUCAAGGCUGCCCCAGGGAGAGAAGCCCAAGGCGUCCUCCCCUACACACCAAUCUGUCAUCCUCUGGGAGGCAUAGGACGUCCUGACCUGAUUCAUAGCCAAAGUUAUAGGACCACAGGAAAACCAGACCCGACCCGCACUGAUAUCAUUUUAAUGACAUUUUUACAUGAUCUUUCCUUUGUCUUGUAAAGAGAUAACUCACACACCUCUGCCUUAAAUUUAGCCCUGCCCUCAACCCACUGCAGCUCUUCACUGCCCGUGGGUCCUGUCCCCAUGCUAUUCUCUGAAUACAGGAGCACUACUGCCACACCCUGAGAGUCCAAGAAAUCUUUCUUUCGACUCCUUGGCUCACUGACCCCGCAUCAUUUCUGGUGGCCCGUACAGGGAUCUUGCUUCGCCGGCUUGUGAGUUCAAGUUCUGUUAUAGUGGCCAUUUUGGGCUCCUUUUGAGCUUUGCAACCGAGAAACAAAGGAAUCUUUAAAGAGUCAAAGGCUCCACCCCUGGGAGCUCCCCCUACCCCGGUUUCCAAAAUUAAGAGCUCUAAUUGGCUUAAAAGAAAUUCAUGGAAAGGAUUCUGACACAGGAUUCCAGAAAACACUUUUCUGAUAAACUUUCAGAUCAUAAAACUGAACUGGAUCCCUCCAGAUUUUGGAAACGUAGUGAGGGAUCUGUACACCUUGUCAGCCUUGGACUCCAUGGAUGCAACCUUCCAGUCCACUGAACGUCCUGCCUGUACCCCUAUGGUCCCCAUUUAGGGACAGCUCUACAACCUUGUACGGCCGGGAGUAGUUACAGAAGACUGACCAUUGUCCAUAUCGCCAAAGGAUUUCCAGGCCAAAUGGGUUCAGGGAGGAUUUCAUGAUGAGGAUCAAGGCUGCCCCAGGGAGAGAAGCCCAAGGCGUCCCGGCCUACAUGUCAAUCUAUAUCACCCUCCAGGAAGCAUAGGACAUCCUGAACUGAUUCGACCUGACUCAUAUCCAAAGUUAUAGGACCACCCAAUAACCAGACCCCACCUGCACUGAUACCAUUUUAAUGACUUUUUUACAUGAUCUUUCCUUUGUCUUGUAAAGAGAUAACUCAUACACCUACACCUUAUAAAUUUAGCCCUGCCCUCAAUCCAUUACAGCUCUUCACUGCCCAUGGGUCCUGUCGCCAUGCUAUUCUCUGAAUAAAAGAGCACUACUACC